rnacentral:lncRNA from 1 species
AACUGGUGAUGAUAUCUUUAAGGCUUGUUUCUCAGAAACAUUCGCAGUGGCCGACCAAGAGCUUUCGCCUUCGCCAGGCUUGAGAGCUUGUGCUGUUUCCUUCCUUCCUUGGAUGUCUGAAGUUUCAUUUCAUUUAUCUAUUAAUAGAGAAUUAAGGUGGGUUUCUCAGUGAUGAUUUCAAUAGAUGACGAGUCUGAUACAUUAUCCAUUCCAUUCAGUAUGAAGACCAAUCGAGGCAUUUGUCUGAGAGAU